AUAAAAGCCAUUUUACCCAAUCUCCUGGACCUAACAUUCCAAGUCAGGACAGUCACAUUGGAGAACCAGUGCUCAUCACUUUCUAGACCUACAAGUAAGUAAAUAGUACAGCUGAGUCCACUUAAUACAGUAUACAUUGAGGCAAGUCAUUGAAUUGCCACUUAAAGGGAUACUAUAGUGUUAGGAAUAUUAAGUUAUAUUCCUAGCACUAUAGCUCCCUCGUGCC